UUUUUGGUCCAAUAUAACAAUUCCCAAAUCACAAUCAGGAGAAAUAGCACAGAAACAAAAUCUGACAAGUGGACAAAAAUCCCUUUAGUACAGUCUGCACAAGUAAUAACAGGAUAUCAGAACUUGGUUUUACCACUGGAAGCUUUGUAAGAUGCGAACAAAAAUUUAGAGCAUUACUGCAUUAUAUUGAAUUAUUAAUUGUUCACUGAUCUGCCAACUCAGGCUUAGAUAUGAUGGUUGAUAUUUAAUUUUUUUUUAACAUGCUAACAGACUAACAGAAUAGUCUUGCUCUAAAAAAAUAUAUUCUUACUUCUGAACAAUAAGCCUCUUUUGAUAAAAGUUGUUUAUUGAUAAACAUUGCUUAUCAAAGCAUUGUAGUAGUCAAUAAGGACUGAAAUCACUGUUUCAGACUACCCCAAAACAGCAUGGGAAGAGGAGGGGAAACAGGUGCAUGCAAGUAUGGAAAGAGCAAGAUUGGGAGUAGCAGCACUCUUCUAAAAGGAAAAAUAAUUUGAAUACUGGGGAGGAUUAAGUGACUGUUCAAAGGCAAAGAGCAUCCAAGAACAUGCUCCAGGCUUCUACCUAUACGUGGUCUUGGGGUCCAGUCACUGGAACUUGCAUGUGAGGCUCUGUCUUCUUCAUCACUGUCACAGGAGUGAAAGCCAUUGGCUAUGAUUUCAUCGCUGAGGAGGAAGUUAUCUGCAAGA